UACGAAGGUCCCGAGCGUUGUCCGGAUUUAUUGGGCGUAAAGCGAGCGCAGGUGGUUUAUUAAGUCUGGUGUAAAAGGCAGUGGCUCAACCAUUGUAUGCAUUGGAAACUGGUAGACUUGAGUGCAGGAGAGGAGAGUGGAAUUCCAUGUGUAGCGGUGAAAUGCGUAGAUAUAUGGAGGAACACCGGUGGCGAAAGCGGCUCUCUGGCCUGUAACUGACACUGAGGCUCGAAAGCGUGGGGAGCAAACAGG
rnacentral:rRNA from 1 species